ACACAUGCAAGUCGAACGGUAACAGGCCGCUGUGAUCCCUUCGGGGUGAACUUGGCGCUGACGAGUGGCGGACGGGUGAGUAAUACUUAGGAAUCUACCCAGUAGCGGGGGAUAACUCGAAGAAAUUCGAGCUAAUACCGCAUACGACCUACGGGUGAAAGCGGGGGACCUUCGGGCCUCGCACUAUUGGAUGAGCCUAAGUCGGAUUAGCUAGUUGGUAGGGUAAAAGCCUACCAAGGCAACGAUCCGUAGCUGGUCUGAGAGGAUGAUCAGCCACACUGGGACUGAGACACGGCCCAGACUCCUACGGGAGGCAGCAGUGGGGAUUAUUGGACAAUGGGGGCAAGCCUGAUCCAGCAAUGCCGCGUGUGUGAAGAAGGCCUGCGGGUUGUAAAGCACUUUCAGUAGGAGAAGAAAAGCCUAGGGUUAAUACCCCUGGGUCUUGACGUUACCUACAGAAGAAGCUCCGGCUAACUCCGUGCCAGCAGCCGCGGUAAUACGGAGGGAGCGAGCGUUAAUCGGAAUUACUGGGCGUAAAGCGCGCGUAGGCGGUCUGGUCAGUCGGAUGUGAAAGCCCUGGGCUUAACCUGGGAACUGCAUUCGAUACUGCCAAACUAGAAUAUGGGAGAGGGAAGUGGAAUUUCCGGUGUAGCGGUGAAAUGCGCAGAUAUCGGAAGGAACACCAGUGGCGAAGGCGGCUUCCUGGCCCAAUAUUGACGCUGAGGUGCGAAAGCGUGGGUAGCGAACAGGAUUAGAUACCCUGGUAGUCCACGCCGUAAACGAUGAGAACUAGAUGUCGGGAGAACUUUGUCUUUCGGUGUCGCAGCUAACGCGUUAAGUUCUCCGCCUGGGGAGUACGCCGGCAACGGUAAAACUCAAAGGAAUUGACGGGGACCCGCACAAGCGGUGGAGCAUGUGGUUUAAUUCGAUGCAACGCGAAGAACCUUACCUGCCCUUGACAUUGACAGAAUCCUGUAGAGAUACGGGAGUGCUUCGGCCUGGAAAACAGGUGCUGCAUGGCUGUCGUCAGCUCGUGUCGUGAGAUGUUGGGUUAAGUCCCGCAACGAGCGCAACCCUUGUCCUUAGUUGCCAGCGAUUCGGUCGGGAACUCUAGGGAGACUGCCGGUGACAAACCGGAGGAAGGUGGGUAUGACGUCAAGUCAUCAUGGCCCUUAUGGGCAGGGCUACACACGUGCUACAAUGGCCGGUACAGAGGGUUGCCAACCCGCAAGGGGGAGCCAAUCCCAGAAAGCCGGUCGUAGUCCGGAUCGGAGUCUGCAACUCGACUCCGUGAAGUCGGAAUCGCUAGUAAUCGCGGAUCAGCAUUGCCGCGGUGAAUACGUUCCCGGGUCUUGUACACACCGCCCGUCACACCAUGGGAGUUGGUUGCACCAGAAGUGGGUAGACUAACCUUCGGGAGGUCGCUCACCACGGU
rnacentral:rRNA from 1 species